rnacentral:rRNA from 1 species
UACGGAGGAUGCAAGCGUUAUCCGGAAUGAUUGGGCGUAAAGCGUCCGCAGGUGGCAAUGUAAGUCUGCUGUCAAAGCGUCUGGCUCAACCAGAUAAAGGCAGUGGAAACUACAUAGCUAGAGUAAGGUAGGGGUAGAGGGAAUUCCAGGUGUAGCGGUGAAAUGCGUAGAUAUCUGGAGGAACACCGGUGGCGAAGGCGGCAUCCUGGACCGGUAUUGACGCUGAGGCGCGAAAGCUAGGGGAGCAAACGGG